GGACCGAGAAAAAUGGAAGGAGAAGGUGUUUUAGUAGACGAAGAUGAAAAUACCGACCAUGACCUACUGCUGAAGCUGUACUUUUGGUCUUCUGGCCUGAGAUGCAAAAGAUGCAAAACGACCCUUUCCUUUGACGUCUUCAAUUGUGUGUGAGAGAAUGCAUUAAAGGAAAACAAAACUCCACACGUAAUCCUAAACUUUUC
rnacentral:misc_RNA from 1 species